rnacentral:rRNA from 1 species
UACGUAGGGUGCGAGCGUUAAUCGGAAUUACUGGGCGUAAAGCGUGCGCAGGCGGUUCGUUGUGUCCGAUGUGAAAGCCCCGGGCUUAACCCGGGAAUGGCAUUGGAAACUGCCGGUCUGGAGGAUCGGAGGGGGGGACUGGAAUUCUUGGUGUAGCAGUGAAAAUGCGUAGAUAUCAAGAGGAACACCAGUGGCGAAGGCGAGUCCCCUGGACGAUACCUGACACUGAGGCACGAAAGCCAAGGGAGCAAACAGG